UUCAAUUGCAGAUGCGGGUUUUCGUGUCGAACGUUUGACCAUUGGUCUUAUUUUAAAUUUCUUAUAAUUAGUAUUUUUUUUUAUUGUUAGAUGAUAGAACAAGAAUAGUGUGUUGACUUAUUUUUCUAAAUUAUUUCAUAAUUUUUUAAAUAAUAUGGGCACUCAAAUGUUAGAUACGGAAACUCACAACUGCACUUAAA
rnacentral:pre_miRNA from 1 species